rnacentral:rRNA from 1 species
AUUGAACGCUGGCGGCAGGCCUAACACAUGCAAGUCGAACGAGUGGCGGACGGGUGAGUAAUGUCUGGGAAACUGCCUGAUGGAGGGGGAUAACUACUGGAAACGGUAGCUAAUACCGCAUACCAUCGGAUGUGCCCAGAUGGGAUUAGCUAGUAGGUGGGGUAAAGGCUCACCUAGGCGACGAUCCCUAGCUGGUCUGAGAGGAGGACCAGCCAAACGGGAACUGAGACCCGGCCCAGACUCCGACGGGAGGCACCAGUGGGGAAUAUUGCACAAUGGGCGCAAGCCUUAUGCAGCCAUGCCGCGUGUAUGAAGAAGGCCUUCUGGUUGUAAAGUACUUUCAGCGGGGAGGCGUUACCCGCAGAAGAAGCACCGGCUAACUCCGUGCCAGCUGCCGCGGUAAUAC